rnacentral:rRNA from 1 species
GCAGAGGUGGAAGUGCAGUAAUGCAUGGAGCUGACUGUUACUAAUCGGGUGAGGGCUUGACCAA